CCCUGGUGGCUCAGAUGGUAAAGAAUCUGCCUGCAAUGCAGAAGACCUGGGUUCAAUCCCUGGGUCAGGGA
rnacentral:tRNA from 1 species